rnacentral:misc_RNA from 1 species
UCGCGUUAAACGUGCCGCCUGGGGAGUACGGUCGCAAGAUUAAAACUCAAAGAAAUUGACGGGGGCCUGCACAAGCGGUGGAGUAUGUGGCUCAAUUCGAUGCAACGCGAAGAACCUUACCUGGGCUAGACAACGGCGGACUGUCCUAGAGAUAGGAUUUUCCCUUCGGGGACUGCCGGUUCAGGUGCUGCAUGGCUGUCGUCAGCUCGUGCCGUGAGGUGUUGGGUUAAGUCCCGCAACGAGCGCAACCCUCGUCCUUAGUUGCCACCAUUCAGUUGGGCACUCUAGGGAGACUGCCGGCGUUAAGCCGGAGGAAGGUGGGGAUGACGUGUCGCAACUAACCA